rnacentral:rRNA from 1 species
UACGGGGGGGGCAAGCGUUGUUCGGAAUUAUUGGGCGUAAAGGGCGCGUAGGCGGUUCGGCAAGUCUCUAGUGAAAUCUCUGGGCUCAACUCAGAGUCUGCUGGGGAAACUGCCGGGCUUGAGUGUGGGAGAGGAGAGUGGAAUUCCCGGUGUAGCGGUGAAAUGCGUAGAGAUGUGGAGGAACACCGAUGGCGAAGGCAGCCUUCUGGGCCAACACUGACGCUCAUGCACGAAAGCGUGGGGAGCAAACAGG